GGGGGUGUAGCUUGGUGUCAGAGCACCUGCCUAGCAUGUGGGAGGCCUGGGUUCAAUCCCCAGCACCCUCA
rnacentral:tRNA from 1 species